rnacentral:tRNA from 1 species
GGACCCGUAGCUCAAUAGGUAGAGCGGGCGCCUUGUAAUCGCACGGUUGUAGGUUCGAGUCCUACCGGGUCCG